GGAGGAUGACCUGCUUUCCCACAGUGCUUGGCGGCAGGGAGCCGAAACCGGAAAGUCGCUAAUGAAGGAGAGCUCCGUUGUAUGCGAAGCACUGAGCAAUAGUGUCAGAAACAGAGGUGGCUACUUCAGUGAACAAAUCUAAGCACACCUGGUGGAGGGUCCUAAACAUCACUACAGCCUAAUUACUGCCACUAAAUAAUAAAAGAAGAAACUUCAUGGAUCAUCCUGGAUUUCGGAAAGUACCCUGGUAAACAGUCUCCUCCCUCUGGUUUAACAGUCCGAAGUAUUUACUCAGUAUUCUUGAGCCUCUGCAGCUAUUCCGCACUGUGGGCUAAGGCUCCUCGAUAAGUUUGGAAAUGCUGGGGUGCCCCCUACCGUUGCAAAUGGGGAAGCAUGUUUCUUUGCAUCUCCAUUCAGAGAACAGGAUUCU